rnacentral:rRNA from 1 species
AUGGGGCGAGGCAAGGCCAGUUUCGACGAGUCGGAAAUCGCCAAACUCCUGGCUAUGAAGGGCGAAUUUCUGCAGCACCGUGAUGAAACUGCAGAACUGCGUGGCGAAGUCAACGAUCUCUGCAAGGAUGUGCAUGGCAUCAGCCUCAAGCAAGACACCAUGGUCUCGGUGAUGGACGGAGUCCAAAAAGCUAUUUCUUCCCUGAAUACACAGCUUGCAACUAUGGCAGAUGUGUUAAAAUCCUUGACACUCACAGAUGCGUCAACAUCCACACAACCAGUUCCUAAACAGCAGAUCCCAAACAAAGAGGCAAGUGCACCUGAGGACAGACCACUAACUGAAGAAUUGCGCAAACGCCUAGCACUUGAACAGGCCAAAACCCGUCAUGUUGCUGCGCAAAUACCCCCCAACCUUGCACCAAUUCAGGUUCCUCGGCCAGCUGUUCCUGCAGGGUUUGGUGCUGCUGCAGCCCUUGAUGCUCCUUUGGGUAAUGCCACUCCCACAACAGCCUACAAAACUGCUCGUACACCCAGUUUCAACAAUUUUCAACCUGCCGGAGUACACCAAGCUUGGGAUGAAUUUCCCAAACAGUAUGAGCAAGAAAUGAGGACACAAUUCCUCAAGAGCAUCACCAAAGGACCUCACAUGGAUGUCCCAUGCUUUGAUGGUGAAAACCCAGCAGGAUGGAUCCGACAGUGCGACAAAUAUUUUUAG